UGGGAAUUUGGACAAUGGGCGAAAGCCUGAUCCAGCAAUGUCGCGUGUGUGAAGAAGGCCUUCGGGUUGUAAAGCACUUUUGUCCGGAAAGAAAUCCUUGGCUCUAAUACAGUCGGGGGAUGACGGUACCGGAAGAAUAAGCACCGGCUAACUACGUGCCAGCAGCCGCGGUAAUACGUAGGGUGCAAGCGUUAAUCGGAAUUACUGGGCGUAAAGCGUGCGCAGGCGGUUUGCUAAGACCGAUGUGAAAUCCCCGGGCUCAACCUGGGAACUGCAUUGGUGACUGGCAGGCUAGAGUAUGGCAGAGGGGGGUAGAAUUCCACGUGUAGCAGUGAAAUGCGUAGAGAUGUGGAGGAAUACCGAUGGCGAAGGCAGCCCCCUGGGCCAAUACUGACGCUCAUGCACGAAAGCGUGGGGAGCAAACAGGAUUAGAUACCCUGGUAGUCCACGCCCUAAACGAUGUCAACUAGUUGUUGGGGAUUCAUUUCCUUAGUAACGUAGCUAACGCGUGAAGUUGACCGCCUGGGGAGUACGGUCGCAAGAUUAAAAC
rnacentral:rRNA from 1 species